UAUGUGAUCGUCUCUCGCAUAUCAAUAAGCGGAGGAAAAGAGUAUACCUACGCUUAGGAUGUUGACACACGCGCGUGCUCGACUCUAUACAUGACUCUGUGCAUAUCAAUAAGCGGAGGAAAAGGUACCUACGCUUAGGAUGUUGACACACGCGCGUGCUCGCGUCUAUACAUGACUCUGCGCAUAUCAAUAAGCGGAGGAAAAGAAACUAACAAGGAUUCCCCUAGUAACGGCGAGUGAAGCGGGAAGAGCUCAAAUUUGAAAUCUUAAAGGGUUUCCCUUUACGAAUUGUAGUUUAAAGAAGUGUUUUCUGUUGAGGUUUUGGUAAAAGUUCUUUGGAAUAGGACAUCAUAGAGGGUGAGAAUCCCGUAUUUGACCUUUACUUUCAACUUUGUGAUACACUUUCAAAGAGUCGGAUUGUUUGGGAAUGCAGUCCAAAAUGGGUGGUAAAUUUCAUCUAAAGCUAAAUAUUGGCGAGAGACCGAUAGCGAACAAGUACCGUGAGGGAAAGAUGAAAAGAACUUUGAAAAGAGAGUUAAACAGUACGUGAAAUUGUCAAAAGGGAAGCGUUUGACACCAGUGUUGUUUUUCUGAAAAUCAAUUAAAGAACUGUUUAUGCUAAGUUGUUUAGACUUUAUCAGCUAUCUGUUUAGUUUUGAGCUUUUCUUUAAUGCACUUUUCAGUUAACAAGUCAACAUCAAUUUCUUUUGCUGUAAAAAAGCUUGAGGAAGGUGGCUUGAGAUUCGUCUUAAGUGUUUAUAGCCUCUUGCCUAUGCAGUCGGAGAGAUUGAGGUCUGCAGCGUAGAUCCUUCGGGGCUAAGUGCAUUUGUGCUAAGUUAUAGCAUUUUAUAGACAACUUGUUGACUAUGAUUUGUCUUGUAGCUUACUCGCUUAUGUUAUUUUACCUACGCUUAGGAUGUUGACACACGCGCGUGCUCG
rnacentral:rRNA from 1 species